CGACUGGAUCAGGACGGAGGGGGCGGCGUGGGAGGACGGCGUCGCCGAGGGGGAGGCCCACAUGUUUGGUCCGUCUCAAACGGCUAAACUCGGACGGCGACGACGGGACGGAGGGGGACGGAUUUAACUUUGGAGGUAUCUUCUAUAUGGAGACGUAUCUGCAAAAGCAGGCCAUAUGUUUUCCCAGCCUGAGGUUUCUGAUUUCUUUGCUAAGUUAAUACAAAGGGUCUCACCAAAGAGUUACCAGUAGGCUCUCGGUGUGGUUUAUGUUAACGGAAAGUUUUUAGAAAACUUUUCUGGUGAUCAGGUGCGUUUCUUGGCAAGGUCGUUCGGAGUACCUGGGAAUCAUCUUGGGCAACAAAGUCAUGGUUUCCGAUGGCCAUAUGGCCCUGUAAGACACCCUUCACAUAUU